UCAAUCAAUGAUGUCUUUACUCUUUCAUUUGUUUUUACGUUUCAUCUCCUGUAUAAAUCUAACGAAAAACCAAGUAAGCACAUCAAGCAAUGGCAACCAAAGCGGCUUAAUCCACCAUAAAGGCUCCAAUGGCUCAGUUGUUCAAUGAUGUCUCCCCUGGUUUGGCGGAUCAACAUUCACAUGCUGUUACUUUCUCUUGCUUAGUCUUUUCAUAGAAGUUUUGCAACAGUCGGAGAGAUUCGAGGCAAUGUUUUUGUGGAAAUAUUACAAUUUCUGUAGUGAUCUAUUAUUGUCAGCUUAAAGUAUGUACUCUUUAAACUCUGCUUUGAUUCCAUUUCACUUUCCAUAUUUUGUUUGAGGAGGGAAAAACAUUGAUGGUCAGUCUCGCCAGAGUUUGAUUUUAUGAGACCGAGAUCAUUUAGAUUAUCAAUGUGUUGACGAUCUUUUACUUUUUGAUUGUUAUUGUGUGUAGAACCCGUCAAAACUGGUUUAGAUUGAAAUGUUCUGAUAUGUGCUGCUCACUUUGCUAUGUUCUUUCAGGUUAUUUUUACCAAAUUCAGAAGUUUUCCUCCAUUGUUUGAGAAUACACUCGGGAGCUGACCCUUGCAAACAUGGGAUUACAUACUUAAUUUUGGUCUACUUCUCUGAAGCUCACAAGACCAGAAUUGUAUCAGGGAGCAUCUAUGAGCAAGCUGAUAUUCGGAACCUAAAAACUGAGGAUCAAGAUGCCUUCCUUUUGACAUUGGCAAAGGUGUAUCUCCGAAAGGGGUAUUAUUUUGUUAAACAUAAACAAUGUGGAGAGAAGCCUCAAGGAAGUUUACUGCAGGCAAGUGGAUCGAUUAUACGAGGGUUUCAGAUCAA